CGCCGCCACUGUUCACGGGCACUGUUCACGGCCAGCCCAUUUUUGCCCCCUUCUACACAAUUAAUUGGAGAGAUUUGAAGAUCAAGAGGAGGAAAAAGAUGGAGCUCAUGGUAGCCAUGGCAACUCACGGCCAUGGCUUUCUUGAAGACAUUUCAUGGUGAAAAAUUAGAGCUUGUCUCUAAGACCUUGGGGAGCCCGAGGCGUAGAUUUGGAUUAGCUUUAGAUUGGCUAUCUUGGAAGUGCGUUCGAGGUACCGACGACAGGUUUGCUGAUCCGUCCGUCUAGGAUUUUUUUCUGCCAUUUGGAGCGCUCUUUUAUUCAGAGCCCAUCUUUUGGUACAGUCUGUCACUACUGUAUUUAUAUAUUCUCGUUCAUGGGUACGGCGGGGCCCUGUCCCGUCAUAUGAUUCUGUCGGUCUGUUUAGAGGUCUGUAGACAUGUUUGUGGGUUGGGGUCUUUCUGUACGGAUGCGUGUAUAUGUUGUGUUUGGGCGAUCCCAUUCGCCGCGGCGGCCGGUCCGCAUAUGUUUAAAUGUUGCUUUGUUGGCCCUGGGUGGUCAUUGUUGGUAUUAUCUGUGCGCAGGGUUAAUUUGGAUAGUCUGUAAAACAAAGGAAACUCUGCCGAAAUUUUUCUGGAAAUUAUCUA